rnacentral:misc_RNA from 1 species
ACGCAGUACCAUUGGGUCACUAAGCCCAACAACGUAAUGCUCCCAAUUUUCAGCCUCUUUUUCUCUCAGAAUAUUUAAUUAAGUUAAAAAAGAAGAGAAACCAUCUCAAGAACAAGAACAAACUCUCUCAUGGAAGCCAUUGAAGUCGAAUCACCAGAACCCAAUGAACAAGAAAGCAGCCUCGUCUCAACCACUAUGCUCUUGCUUGCGCUCUUUUGGCAUCUACAACCUCCUUCUUAAGGGCUACGAUAUGGUGUGAUGAGUGGUGCUGUACUUUUCAUCAGAGAAAAACCUCAAAAUUAAAUCAACCCAAGUAGAGAUUUUGGUGGGU